rnacentral:rRNA from 1 species
UACGAAGGGGACUAGCGUUGUUCGGAAUCACUGGGCGUAAAGCGCACGUAGGCGGAUUUGUAAGUCAGGGGUGAAAUCCCGGGGGCUCAACCUCGGAACUGCCUUUGAUACUGCGAAUCUCGAGUCCGAUAGAGGUGGGUGGAAUUCCUAGUGUAGAGGUGAAAUUCGUAGAUAUUAGGAAGAACACCGGUGGCGAAGGCGGCCCACUGGAUCGGUACUGACGCUGAGGUGCGAAAGCGUGGGGAGCAAACAGG